UCUGCCUCCAAAGAAAUUAGAAGUAGAAACUAAAAGGCAGGAAUGGAAUCCACAGGCAGAUAGCCCAGCACCACGCCCUGAGCCUGGUAGUUAAAAAAUCAACCCCUGACCUAACUGCUGUGUUAUCUAUAGAUUUCAGACAUUGUAUGGAAAAGCAUCAUGAAAAUCCCUGUCCUGUUCUCUUCCUUUCUGAUUACUGGUGCAUGCGGCCCCCAGUCACGUACCCCCUGCUUGCUCAAUCAAUCACAACCCUCUCACGUGGACCCCCUUAGAGUUGUAAGCCCUUAAAAUGGACAGGAAUCUCUCACUCGGGGAGCUCGGUUUUUGGAGACGCGAGUCCACUGAUUCUCCCAGCUGAAUAAAGCCCUUUCCUUCUACAACUCGGUGCCUGAGGGGUUCUUGUCUGUGGCUCAUCCUGCUACACAAAUACCAUAAACAAAGUGGCUUAUAAAUAAUAAAAAUGUAUUUCUCACAGCUUUGGAGGCUGGAAGUCAGAUAUCAGGGUGGCAACAUGGUCGGCUUCCAUGGAGGAGCUUCUUUUGGGUUGCAGAUGGCUCACUUAUUGCUGUUCCCUCACAGUGCAAAGCUACAGAACUCUCUGGGGUCCCUAUUACAAGGGCACGAGUUCCAUUCAUGAGGGCUGUACAUUCUUGACCUAAUUACCUCCCGAAGGCCCCAAUUUCUAAUACCAUCACAUGAGGGGCUAGGAUUUCAACAUGCGAAUUUUGGGGGACACGAACAUUCAGUUCAUAGCACUAUCCAUAAAAAAUUUCUUUUCUACUUAAAUUUGACAAGGUUGGUUUCUGUUUUUUACUGCUGAGCACCCUGAAAGCAUGGAUCAGGUUCUCCACUUCCAGCUUAAAUUGUUCCAUGUCUUCACUGAAUUCUUCAAGUACUUACAGCAAUUCCACAUACGUCCAUUGAGUGCCAGGCAUUGUGCUAUGCACUAUAAGGAUCAUCAACUCACUAACAGGAGUCUUUCCAACUGUUCUUCUCCUGAACUGUAUAUUAAUGAAGAAGCACGUAUACAGUGAUAAUAUCUUUUGAAAACCCUGACUAAUCCUUGCUCACCAGCAUUCUUUUAUUUCAAGACUUUAUGGAGUCUUUUUAUGUUAAUAUGCACUAGGAAGCUUAAAAAGAAAGAUAAUAUGUAGGGAUUUCAAAAUGUAUGUGACAUGGAACUUCUUUUAUGAGAAUCUUUGUGUGAAUAAUAUCUAAUUAAAGAUAUUAGGAAAUUCUGGAAUAAAAAUAAAAACUAUAAAUGAAAAAGAAGAAAGAAUUUAAGAAAGUGUGAUAGAGGCAACGGGAAUUUAAACAGAAGUGGGGAAAGGGCAAAAGAGAGAAGGCCAGUGGGGAAUGAGCUGAACUCUGAGAAGGCAGAUUAGUAAAGUCAAAAGUUAAAAAAAAAAUUUGUUUCAAAUCAUUAUCACAUGCAAUAGGCAACAAAAAUUCCCCAAAUGAAAUCUUACAAAGUAUUCUUGGAUCAUAGCAUAUUGAAAUCUCAAUAUGCCUCAUUUUUAAUAUAAUAUUUAAUAAAAUAGAAGAAGUAGCUUAAAGUCACAGAAUGGAGUCUCAUAUGCAAAUCCACUUACCUCUGGAGUUUACAACCAAGAAAGUCUACAAA
rnacentral:lncRNA from 1 species